rnacentral:rRNA from 1 species
UGGGGAUCUUGCACAAUGGGCGAAGCCUGAUGCAGCGAUGCCGCGUGUGUGAAGAAGGCCUGCGGGUUGUAAAGCACUUUCAGUAGGGAGGAAAAGUAACGGAACAAUACCCGUUACCUUCACGUUACCUACAGAAGAAGCACCGGCUAACUCUGUGCCAGCAGCCGCGGUAAUACAGAGGGUGCAAGCGUUAAUCGGAAUUACUGGGCGUAAAGCGCGCGUAGGCGGCUCGGUCAGUCGGAUGUGAAAGCCCCGGGCUUAACCUGGGAAUUGCAUUCGAUACUGCCAGGCUAGAAUGUAGUAGAGGGAAGCGGAAUUCCAGGUGUAGCGGUGAAAUGCGUAGAUAUCUGGAGGAACAUCAGUGGCGAAGGCGACUUCCUGGCCCAAUACUGACGCUGAGGUACGAAAGCGUGGGGAGCAAACAGGAUUAGAUACCCUGGUAGUCCACGCCGUAAACGAUGAGAACUAGAUGUCGGGAGGAACAGCCUUUUCGGUGUCGCAGCUAACGCAUUAAGUUCCUCCGCCUGGGGAGUACGCGGGCAACCGUA